rnacentral:tRNA from 1 species
GCGGCAAUAACUCAGUCGGUAGAGCGUCAGCUUCCCAAGCUGAAAGUCGCGGGUUCGAGUCCCGUUUGCCGCU